rnacentral:rRNA from 1 species
UACGGAGGGUGCAAGCGUUAUCCGGAUUCACUGGGUUUAAAGGGUGCGUAGGAGGGCAGGUAAGUCAGUGGUGAAAUCUCCGAGCUUAACUCGGAAACUGCCGUUGAUACUAUUUGUCUUGAAUAUUGUGGAGGUAAGCGGAAUAUGUCAUGUAGCGGUGAAAUGCUUAGAUAUGACAUAGAACACCAAUUGCGAAGGCAGCUUACUACACAAUUAUUGACGCUGAGGCACGAAAGCGUGGGGAUCAAACAGG